rnacentral:rRNA from 1 species
CCUACGGGGGGCUGCAGUGAGGAAUAUUGGUCAAUGGGCGCAAGCCUGAACCAGCCAAGUCGCGUGAGGGAUGACGGUCCUAUGGAUUGUAAACCUCUUUUGUCGGGGAGCAAGGCCCGCCACGUGUGGCGGGAAGGAGAGUACCCGAAGAAAAAGCAUCGGCUAACUCCGUGCCAGCAGCCGCGGUAAUACGGAGGAUGCGAGCGUUAUCCGGAUUUAUUGGGUUUAAAGGGUGCGUAGGCGGAAGGUUAAGUCAGCGGUCAAAUGUCGGUGCUCAACACCGGCCUGCCGUUGAAACUGGUCGUCUUGAGUGAGCGAGAAGUAUGCGGAAUGCGUGGUGUAGCGGUGAAAUGCAUAGAUAUCACGCAGAACUCAGAUUGCGAAGGCAGCAUACCGGCGCUCAACUGACGCUGAGGCACGAAAGCGUGGGGAUCGAACAGGAUUAGAUACCCGAGUAGUC